GUCGCCAGACGUAAGGCUGGUUUCAAUAGAGGUGGCACCUUACCUCCUCACAAAAGGAGCACCACGGCCCGCAAGGCUUCAGUUCCAGCAGCGCGGGGUGACAAGCCGCCUUCGUCUUUAUUGAACCUCCUACAUUCCACCACUUCUGCCUACCGCACUGGUUCGUUCGCUCAGCACUCCACACACAGCUCGUCACUCCACAAGUCGGCAUCAUGCAGCCAUUGACCCUCCUGCUGGUGGUGGCCGUGGCCCUCUCAGCGAUGGUGGUGGUGCAGGCCCAGUUCUUUCCUGACGGAGAACCUGGAGUUUACCAUCCAUGCCACCAUUUGCACUACCGCCCACACCACCAACCACGCAACCACCAACACCACCACCCGUACUACCACCCUUACUACUACUUCUCUCCGAACUACUUCAACCCACCACCUAACUUUUAGGCGCCUUGUAGGCGCUGUAAAGUAAAAAAAAAAAAAAAUGCAACAGCGACGCGAAAAGAGUAAGUCUGUAACACCUUCAGUAAUCUUGCCUUCUCACCAGGGAAGCAUCAGUCCUCCACUGUUACCACCACAAUCACUACCUAGGCCACUACUUCAGGAUCGCGCGUCUCUACAAAAAACAAGACGUAUGUUAUUAAUAAUGUUAAUUAGUGUAGUGCUAAAAAAUAAAGAAAAAAGACG